UCUGCACAAAUAUUCAUCAACUUCUUGAUCGAUUGGGUGUGGCCUAGAGGGGAAGCUGUUAGAUCGAGUGUGGUAAGCCAUUUGUUUUUACUGAUUUUGGAGAUUAUAGAAGACCUUGCAGUUGAUGUACAAUUGGAACUGAUGAGUUAUUUCCUUAUUUAUCUGCUUAAUAUAUAGUGUUAAUUCAAGACGGGGACAUGGAAUCUCAUCCACCUCAUUCAGGGAGAAGUAACAUGAUUUUGAUUUCAAUUUCAUUGUUCCCUAGGCAAUGUUUAUGUAGUGUCUCCUUAUGCACCAGCAUACCAACUCAUGAACUAAUUUAUUUUGCAUUGAAAAUCUUUUAUCAUAACUUAACCAUCGUGCAAACAUAAUUUUUUAAAUUGCCAAAUUGGUCAGCGAUUGCACGAGUUGCACUGAGCUGUGUUGAUGCAUUCUGCUCAUAAGAAGAAAUAUGCUAAUCAGUAAUUCAGUAUAUAUAGUGUAGUGAUUGGUAUGCAGGGAGUGGGCAAGAUCUGCAAUUUUCUGACCAUGCAUUGUGUUUUCAUCGUGCAGAAAAUUGGUCAGGGGCCCAAGAUGAGUUAGCCUGUUCCCCAAACAGGAAGGAAAUCAGCAAACAUAUCAUUUUAAUUAGAGUAGAGAGAUCUGAGUCUGCCAUGUGAUUAUCAUUAAUCAAAAUUUGUAUUUAAUCUGCUUUCUACUAUUUCCCUGGAGAUAACUGUAAACUGACAUCAAUGUAAAUCGGGUGUGUUCUUGAGCGAGCAUGGCAAUUAGGUUUUACAACAAUCAUUUAUAUUGUACCCAUAGAAGAGAAGGUAUUCAGUUGAAUCUAAGUAGAGAAUCUUUCUGCCCUCUCAGCAUAUGGUAAGU
rnacentral:lncRNA from 1 species